GGACGAACGCUGGCGGCGUGCUUAACACAUGCAAGUCGAGCGGUAAGGCCCUUUCGGGGGUACACGAGCGGCGAACGGGUGAGUAACACGUGGGUGACCUGCCCUCAGCUCUGGGAUAAGCCUGGGAAACCGGGUCUAAUACUGGAUAUGACUCCAUGACGCAUGUUGUGGGGUGGAAAGCCUUGUGCGGCUGAGGAUGGGCCCGCGGCCUAUCAGCUUGUUGGUGGGGUGANGGCCUACCAAGGCGACGACGGGUAGCCGGCCUGAGAGGGCGACCGGCCACACUGGGACUGAGACACGGCCCAGACUCCUACGGGAGGCAGCAGUGGGGAAUCUUGCGCAAUGGGCGAAAGCCUGACGCAGCGACGCCGCGUGAGGGAUGACGGCCUGG
rnacentral:rRNA from 1 species